AGAGAGAGAGAGAGAGAGAGAGAGAGAGAGUUGGUUGAGCAAGCUUGACAGUAGAGCUUGGGCCAAAUUUUCUAGUAAUUUGUUUAAACUAGUUAAUUCAAGCACAAAACAUCAUGACAAACAUGUCCUUAAUUCUGCUGAGUAUCCUGCUUAUGAUCUCAGCGGUUUUUGCUGAAUGUGGUGGAUUUUCAAUUUCAUCACAUGAAGGAAACCCAAACAUAGCUACAUUCAGUGUUCCACCAAAGUGGCAGAAGAACCUAAUACUUUGUUGCACUUGCCAAGAUUAUGUAAGAGUAACAACACCCAAACUUAACCUCAAGCUGCAGCAGAAUAUAAAUAAGUUUUGCAACAUGUUCACCCCACAUGUGAAAAUUAAAUGUUUGAGGUUUGGAGGAAAACUCAAGACAAAGAUUCUCAAGUUCAUUUUCCCUGGAAAAACCACCAGAGAAACCUGUCAGAAAAGAAAGCUGUGUAUGUAUUAAUAAAGGCAAAAAAUAAACAAACAAAAAUCUUGAUUUUAAUAUAUAGGCAAAUGUGAUUAUCUAAUAUCUCUACAGUAUAAUGUCUGUUUAUCCAAUAAAUGGGAAAUGAGCUAAAUUAUUUGCAGUUGUAAAAUAAUAUCAGCCUUAAAAAAUAGUAGUAUAAAAUGUCUAAAAAUGUUUUCAAUGUUCCUUGGAAUUGCAUGUUUAUAAUACAUUUAAAAUGAGAUAUAUGUAAUUGAUCAUUUCAAAUGACUUUUGUUUCUUUUUUUAAUUUUGAGCUCAAUUUGUUGGUCUUUUUUUUUUUUUUUGUGUUGAUCUUAUUUUGAUAACUGUGAUUUCCCUGAUUUUGUUUAAACUUGUAUUGUAUUACAGACCAUAAAUGUAUAUAAUGUAAUUUAUUGCAAAUAGACUCAGAUUAA